AGAUUGAACGCUGGCGGCAUGCCUUACACAUGCAAGUCGAACGGCAGCACGGGGGCAACCCUGGUGGCGAGUGGCGAACGGGUGAGUAAUACAUCGGAACGUGCCCAGUCGUGGGGGAUAACGUAGCGAAAGCUACGCUAAUACCGCAUACGAACUCUGGUUGAAAGCGGGGGAUCGCAAGACCUCGCGCGAUUGGAGCGGCCGAUGGCAGAUUAGGUAGUUGGUGGGGUAAAGGCCUACCAAGCCGACGAUCUGUAGCUGGUCUGAGAGGACGACCAGCCACACUGGGACUGAGACACGGCCCAGACUCCUACGGGGGGCAGCAGUGGGGAAUUUUGGACAAUGGGCGCAAGCCUGAUCCAGCCAUUCCGCGUGCAGGAUGAAGGCCCUCGGGUUGUAAACUGCUUUUGUACGGAACGAAAAGGCCUGAGUUAAUACCUCGGGCUCAUGACGGUACCGUAAGAAUAAGCACCGGCUAACUACGUGCCAGCAGCCGCGGUAAUACGUAGGGUGCAAGCGUUAAUCGGAAUUACUGGGCGUAAAGCGUGCGCAGGCGGUGAUGUAAGACAGGUGUGAAAUCCCCGGGCUUAACCUGGGAACUGCAUUUGUGACUGCAUCGCUGGAGUGCGGCAGAGGGGGAUGGAAUUCCGCGUGUAGCAGUGAAAUGCGUAGAUAUGCGGAGGAACACCGAUGGCGAAGGCAAUCCCCUGGGCCUGCACUGACGCUCAUGCACGAAAGCGUGGGGAGCAAACAGGAUUAGAUACCCUGGUAGUCCACGCCCUAAACGAUGUCAACUGGUUGUUGGGUCUUCACUGACUCAGUAACGAAGCUAACGCGUGAAGUUGACC
rnacentral:rRNA from 1 species